AACCAAACACUCAAGUGGCUUUACACUUCAGCCACAAAAAACCAAAAGCUAUCCAUAAUUUAGAGGCUACCCAAAAGCUCAUACUAUUCCCCAUCUGCGAGUGGAAAGGCAACACAAAAGCUUAUAUUGUUCUCCAUCUGCAAAGACAAACAUCCGAGGUUGUACAAAAAAACAAACUGUGCUGAUUUUAAACUAAAAUUCAGCAGUAAGAUCAUAGGUGAUUGGUCCCUACAAGAGGAAAGAACAACAAUUGAAUUCUUUUUAUUAUGAAAUAUCAUCUGAAUAAUUAUGUCAUCGUUGUUAAAUAUUACCAUCAACAACCGAGAAAAUUUAUGGAUGGCCAUACAUGUUCAGGCACCCCUUCCUUCUAGCAAAAAGUACUAGGGACUGCUACAGCACCAUCUUCGAAUUGCACAGUUGUUGUACUAGGGGACAUAUUUUGGACUGCUGGAACACUCUCACCGAAUGGCACCGUUGUAGCUUUUUGUUCCUUCUUAUAAAAGAGAAUGAAAUAAGUAAUACAAUUAGACACUAAUACAAUUAAAAUCAAUCAAAUUAUUCUAGUCUGCGACGUACCACUGAACAUUUUCCCCUUUUCUUAUGUCCCUUUUUAGCCCUUAUGCAUCUUUUCAACCUAACUUUUUUCCGCUUUGAGCUUUUUGUCUCCACCUCCUUCUUCUUUAGUUGUGUUGUACUAACCAAAUUACAUGGGAGAGUGACAUUCGAGGGAGAAGUGAUUGGAUCCACUGUACUACUACAAUUAUUGAUUUCUUCCUCAACUUGCUUGCUAAGGAUGUCAACUUACUACACGGGCGGCCGAAACCCUAGCGCCGCCGCCCCCUCCCUCCACUCCAUCCCACCUCGCCGUCACCAGAGGGCGCCGCCGGAUGUCCGCGCGGCCCCAAGGAAGGUGGCGGCGAGGCGAUUUUUCUCUGGUUUGGUCGCGUCUGCCCGGAUCUAGUCGGGUUCCAGGAGGUGGCAGCGGCGUGUGUGGGGCGGCGACCCUUCGCCGGCGCGGCUCAGCCUCGGCGGCAUCCUGGCGGCAGUGAGCGCGACGUUCGUAUGGCACAUCCGGGCGUUGCGGGUCCUGGAUGGGUGUUCGCGCAGCAGGGGGGCAUGCGGCCGGCCGUGGGUCGCAGGCGCGGAGAAGGUGCUGUCUGGCGCCCCCAGGGCAGGGAGCGGCGCCGCGCGUGGAGGUCUGGAAUCUAGUGCGCGUGGGGUUCGCGGCCUCCGCGUGCCAGCCUUCGGAGGCGUCGACAGGCUGGUCCCGGGCAUGUGCCGGGGUGGUGUUCGGCGUGGUGCGUCGGUGGGCCUGCGCAGUCGACCGGAUUGGCGGUGGCGGGACCUCCACUCGUCUGCGUCUACGAUGAGGUGGUCGGCGUCUUGAUCUGCGUUGGGUUGGUUGGAUCUGCGGGCUGUCUGCCCGGAUCUGGGGGGCUGGUCGCCUUCCGCCGCUCCUCCCUGUUGCUGGCUUGGGCGGGUGGCCUUGCGGCUGCUGCGGCGGUGCCUGCGCGCUCGCGUGGUCGUAGCUGGUCUGCGGCGUCGGCACCCACGCGUGCGGCUGGCGCGCUGUGGUGGCGGCGUGGCUUGCCUGUACUUGCCUUGGUCGGGGCGUUGGCCGUCGCCGGAUCUGCAGCUGUCUGCGGCGCCUUCUGCAGGGGCGGCUA
rnacentral:lncRNA from 1 species